rfam:Oryza rufipogon genomic scaffold, chr01
AAUAAACGCUGCUAUGAGUUUCUGUAUUCAACUUUAAUUGUCCAUUUUAUUUAAUUUUUUUUAUGAUUAUUAUUUUUAUUGUUACUAGAUUAUAAAACGUGAACAAUACUUUAUACGUGACUUAUGUCUUUUAUUUUUUUUAAAAAAAAAAUAAAUAAGACGAACAAUUAAAGUUCGACACGGAAACUCAUGCUGCGCUUAUU